rnacentral:rRNA from 1 species
UACGUAGGGGGCAAGCGUUGUCCGGAAUCAUUGGGCGUAAAGCGCGUGUAGGCGGCUCGAUAAGUCCGCUCUGAAAGCCCGGGGCUCAACCCCGGGAGGCGGGUGGAUACUGUCGAGCUUGAGUCCGGAAGAGGAGUGUGGAAUUCCUGGUGUAGCGGUGAAAUGCGCAGAUAUCAGGAGGAACACCAAUGGCGAAGGCAGCACUCUGGGACGUGACUGACGCUGAGACGCGAAAGCGUGGGGAGCAAACAGG